rnacentral:rRNA from 1 species
AUUGAACGCUGGCGGCAGGCCUAACACAUGCAAGUCGAGCGGAUGAAGGGAGCUUGCUCCUGGAUUCAGCGGCGGACGGGUGAGUAAUGCCUAGGAAUCUGCCUGGUAGUGGGGGAUAACGUCCGGAAACGGGCGCUAAUACCGCAUACGUCCUGAGGGAGAAAGUGGGGGAUCUUCGGACCUCACGCUAUCAGAUGAGCCUAGGUCGGAUUAGCUAGUUGGUUGGGUAAAGGCCUACCAAGGCGACGAUCCGUAACUGGUCUGAGAGGAUGAUCAGUCACACUGGAACUGAGACACGGUCCAGACUCCUACGGGAGGCAGCAGUGGGGAAUAUUGGACAAUGGGCGAAAGCCUGAUCCAGCAAUGCCGCGUGUGUGAAGAUGGUCUUCGGAUUGUAAAGCACUUUAAGUUGGGAGGAAGGGCAGUAAGUUAAUACCUUGCUGUUUUGACGUUACCAACAGAAUAAGCACCGGCUAACUUCGUG